rnacentral:rRNA from 1 species
UGGGGAAUAUUGGACAAUGGGCGAAAGCCUGAUCCAGCCAUGCCGCGUGUGUGAAGAAGGUCUUCGGAUUGUAAAAGCACUUUAAAGUUGGGAGGAAGGGCAGUUACCUAAUACGUGAUUGUCUUGACGUUACCGACAGAAUAAGCACCGGCUAGCUCUGUGCCAGCAGCCGCGGUAAUACAGAGGGUGCAAGCGUUAAUCGGAAUUACUGGGCGUAAAGCGCGCGUAGGUGGUUUGUUAAGUUAGAUGUGAAAUCCCCGGGCUCAACCUGGGAACUGCAUUCAAAACUGGCAGGCCAGAGUAUGGUAGAGGGUGGUGGAAUUUCCUGUGUAGCGGUGAAAUGCGUAGAUAUAGGAAGGAACACCAGUGGCGUAGGCGACCACCUGGACUAAUACUGACACUGAGGUGCGAAAGCGUAGGGAGCAAACAGGAUUAGAUACCCUGGUAGUCCACGCCGUAAACGAUGUCAACUAGCCGUUGGGAGCCUUGAGCUCUUAGUGGCGCAGCUAACGCAUUAAGUUGACCGCCUGGGGAGUACGGCCGCAAGGUUAAAACUCAAAGGAAUUGACGGGGUCAUAGCUGUUUCCUG